AUUCUCCAUAGCUCUGUAGCUAAGGUACCAUCCUGGGGUAUAAGAGACUGAAGUUCAACUCCCUGUACCCCAGCAAGGGGGAAUCAAACUCAGGUCUUCUGCAUCCUGGGCAAAGGCAAGAAGUCAGGAUUUAGUUGUCAAUACUGCAUUUGCAAUGGGAAGCGGGUGCCUAGUUCCCCUUGUCUCCCACAGAGAAUCAAAUUCUCAAAGAGACUAUGAAGUUGUAUUAGCACCAGAGAUGAUCAUGUAACAAGAAAAUGUUCUAU